GGCGGUCGCAGUGAGAACUUUGCAGGAGCAGCUGGAAAAGGCCAAAGAGAGUCUUAAGAACGUGGAUGAGAAUAUUCGCAAGCUCACCGGGCGGGAUCCGAAUGACGUGAGGCCCAUCCAAGCCAGAUUGCUGGCCCUUUCUGGUCCUGGUGGAGGUAGAGGACGUGGUAGUUUAUUACUGAGGUAAGAUUUCCUUUGGACUUUACUCAUGCUGAAACUGCUGGUACUUUACUAAAUAUGUUGGUUUGAACAAAACCUGUGAUAAAAUCAAUAACCCAGUGUUUGUCGUCUUUGUUUUGUUUAAUGUUGUAAUAGACUAGAUUUCUGUAUAAAUAUAGUUAUCCUGAAAAACUGGAGGUUGAAGAAUAUAUUAAGUGUACCAAUUUUGAGUGAACUUAAUUCUUAUAAAGUAACACUAUAAAAGCAUUUUGGAAUGAAUACCCGUUUAAGGCUACUUUAGUUGGAAAGAUUUUUGAAAGUUUAACCAUAUUCUCUUGUCAAAUGGAAAUACCAUUUAUCUUGUAUUUCAAGUGUUUUAUGUUGAACAUUUUAAAUUUCAGGCGUGGAUUCUCAGAUAGUGGAGGAGGACCCCCAGCCAAACAGAGAGACCUUGAAGGGGCAGUC
rnacentral:sRNA from 1 species